CACGUAGGGCGCAAGCGUUGUCCGGAAUUAUUGGGCGUAAAGAGCUCGUAGGCGGUGUGUCGCGUCGGCCGUGAAAACCUGCAGCUUAACUGUGGGCUUGCGGUCGAUACUGUCGUGACUCGAGUCCGGUAGGGGAGUGUGGAAUUCCCGGUGUAGCGGUGAAAUGCGCAGAGAUCGGGAGGAACACCCGUAGCGAAGGCGGCACUCUGGGCCGGUACUGACGCUGAGGAGCGAAAGCGUGGGGAGCAAACAGG
rnacentral:rRNA from 1 species